AGGAGCAUUUACUCAGUGAGUGCAAGAGGUUUGUGUGAAACAGACCGCAAUGGAGAGAUCAGCGCCCAGGGAAGCGAGGGAACAGCAGGCUCCUUCCAGCAGCACAUCGGGAUGGGAGCCUGGGACACAGAGGGGGCUCCAAGACCGGGAUUGAUUCGGGGUGGUGUCCCUGUGUCUUCUUCCAGCAAAACACCUGAGGGACUAAGACGCUGUAAAACUUCCUCCGUUCAAAUCACAGAGUAACCAGCUGUCUCCAACAAACGGAAGGUAUGUAGCCCAUUGGCAUUUACACACCAGCGUUGGAGAUAGAUGAACUGAGUUCUCAUUCAAAAUAGAUGUUCAGGAACAGCACUAAAAUGUGCAGUUAUUAAGAACAUUUUCAAAGUUACAAUGAAGAUCGACAAAUAGGCAACAUUGAAACGAUGCAACAACGACCAUCUGUGAAGAUGAGAUGGAGGGAAACUGCUCACCGACGAGCAAGAGUUACUGAAGAGUCGUUGAGUCACAGAGACAGAGAGCAUGCAAACAGACCCUUCGGUCCAACUUGUCCAGAUAUCCUAACCUAAUCUCGUCCCAUUUGCCAGAACUUAACCCAUCUCCCUCUAAACCGUUCCUAUUCAUAUUGUUAAAGUACAGAUACGAGAUGGCCAGGGUAUCACUUGUGGACUCAGACCUAUAAGCCUCGUCCUGGAGAUCCUGGUUCGUCCUGGAGAUCGUACUGUUUGGUAGUCUGGAAUAAAAACCUCUUACAAACA